rnacentral:rRNA from 1 species
AUUCCGAUAACGAACGAGACUCAAUUAUUUAACUAGAUACCUAUCAGCCGUUGAGAUGCUGAAGUCAUGUGGUGUGCGUGGGUGUUGAAAGACAUUCAUGUAUGACAUGUGAUGGAGUCUCACCUGAUAGUUUGGCUUUCGAUUUCGGUCGAUAAGCUUUAUCUGCUUAAAUAGACAAAUUGCUUUCAGCAAUAUGAAAUUGAGCAAUAACAGGUCCGUGAUGCCCUUAGAUGUUCUGGGCGGCACGCGAGUUACAAUGAAG